rnacentral:rRNA from 1 species
GACGAACGCUGGCGGCGUGCUUAACACAUGCAAGUCGAACGGAAAGGCCCUGCUUUUGUGGGGUGCUCGAGUGGCGAACGGGUGAGUAACACGUGAGUAACCUGCCCUUGACUUUGGGAUAACUUCAGGAAACUGGGGCUAAUACCGGAUAGGAGCUCCUGCUGCAUGGUGGGGGUUGGAAAGUUUCGGCGGUUGGGGAUGGACUCGCGGCUUAUCAGCUUGUUGGUGGGGUAGUGGCUUACCAAGGCUUUGACGGGUAGCCGGCCUGAGAGGGUGACCGGCCACAUUGGGACUGAGAUAAGGCCCAGACUCCUACGGGAGGCAGCAGUGGGGAAUAUUGCACAAUGGGCGGAAGCCUGAUGCAGCAAAGCCGCGUGCGGGAUGACGGACUUCGGGUUGUAAACCGCUUUCGCCUGUGACGAAGCGUGAGUGACGGUAAUGGGUAAAGAAGCACCGGCUAACUACGUG